rnacentral:ncRNA from 1 species
UGUCCGGCUCUCCGCUACUAAGCCGCGCACAGCAUUAAUAAGGAGGAAUAUGAACAUCCCUGUGGCUCGGGGUACGGCAUUGUUGGAGACAUGCCGCAAGGCGGUGCGCGUAUGCGGCCGCGAGGUCAUGCCAGGCAGAGGCCGUGUGACCGGAGCCGGAAUGUAUGGCA